rnacentral:rRNA from 1 species
CCUACGGGGAGCAGCAGUGAGGAAUAUUGGUCAAUGGACGAGAGUCUGAACCAGCCAAGUAGCGUGAAGGAUGACUGCCCUAUGGGUUGUAAACUUCUUUUAUAUGGGAAUAAAACGUUCCACGUGUGGGAUUUUGUAUGUACCAUAUGAAUAAGGAUCGGCUAACUCCGUGCCAGCAGCCGCGGUAAUACGGAGGAUCCGAGCGUUAUCCGGAUUUAUUGGGUUUAAAGGGAGCGUAGGUGGAUUGUUAAGUCAGUUGUGAAAGUUUGCGGCUCAACCGUAAAAUUGCAGUUGAAACUGGCAGUCUUGAGUACAGUAGAGGUGGGCGGAAUUCGUGGUGUAGCGGUGAAAUGCUUAGAUAUCACGAAGAACUCCGAUUGCGAAGGCAGUUCACUGGACUGCAACUGACACUGAGGCUCGAAAGUGUGGGUAUCAAACGGGAUUAGAUACCCGAGUAGUC